AGUGAACGCUGGCGGUAGGCCUAACACAUGCAAGUCGAACGGCAGCACAGUAAGAGCUUGCUCUUACGGGUGGCGAGUGGCGGACGGGUGAGGAAUACAUCGGAAUCUACUUUUUCGUGGGGGAUAACGUAGGGAAACUUACGCUAAUACCGCAUACGACCUACGGGUGAAAGCAGGGGAUCUUCGGACCUUGCGCGAUUGAAUGAGCCGAUGUCGGAUUAGCUAGUUGGCGGGGUAAAGGCCCACCAAGGCGACGAUCCGUAGCUGGUCUGAGAGGAUGAUUCGCCACACUGGAACUGAGACACGGUCCAGACUCCUACGGGAGGCAGCAGUGGGGAAUAUUGGACAAUGGGCGCAAGCCUGAUCCAGCCAUACCGCGUGGGUGAAGAAGGCCUUCGGGUUGUAAAGCCCUUUUGUUGGGAAAGAAAAGCAGCAGGUUAAUACCCCGCUGUUCUGACGGUACCCAAAGAAUAAGCACCGGCUAACUUCGUG
rnacentral:rRNA from 1 species